UACGUAGGGUGCGAGCGUUGUCCGGAAUUAUUGGGCGUAAAGGGCUCGUAGGCGGUUUGUCGCGUCGGGAGUGAAAACUCAGGGCUUAACCCUGAGCCUGCUUCCGAUACGGGCAGACUAGAGGUAUGCAGGGGAGAACGGAAUUCCUGGUGUAGCGGUGGAAUGCGCAGAUAUCAGGAGGAACACCGGUGGCGAAGGCGGGUCUCUGGGCAGUAACUGACGCUGAGGAGCGAAAGCGUGGGGAGCAAACAGG
rnacentral:rRNA from 1 species